rnacentral:rRNA from 1 species
GUAACAAGGUUUCCGUAGGUGAACCUGCG